rnacentral:rRNA from 1 species
CCUACGGGAGGCAGCAGUGGGGAAUAUUGGACAAUGGGCGAAAGCCUGAUCCAGCAAUGCCGCGUGAGUGAUGAAGGCCUUAGGGUUGUAAAGCUCUUUUACCCGGGAUGAUAAUGACAGUACCGGGAGAAUAAGCUCCGGCUAACUCCGUGCCAGCAGCCGCGGUAAUACGGAGGGAGCUAGCGUUAUUCGGAAUUACUGGGCGUAAAGCGCACGUAGGCGGCUUUGUAAGUAAGAGGUGAAAGCCUGGAGCUCAACUCCAGAAUUGCCUUUUAGACUGCAUCGCUUGAAUCCAGGAGAGGUGAGUGGAAUUCCGAGUGUAGAGGUGAAAUUCGUAGAUAUUCGGAAGAACACCAGUGGCGAAGGCGGCUCACUGGACUGGUAUUGACGCUGAGGUGCGAAAGCGUGGGGAGCAAACAGGAUUAGAUACCCGUGGUAGUCCACGCCGUAAACGAUGAUAACUAGCUGUCGGGGUUACAUAGAACUUCGGUGGCGCAGCUACGACAUAGUUAUCGCCGUGGGUAGGUACGGCCGCGAGUAAACGUACAAGAAGUAGACGCGNGAGACGNGCCGACGGACGACGACGAGGGAGAGG